rnacentral:rRNA from 1 species
UACGUAGGGUGCAAGCGUUAAUCGGAAUUACUGGGCGUAAAGCGUGCGCAGGCGGUCUUGUAAGUCUGUCGUGAAAGCCCCGGGCUCAACCUGGGAAUUGCGAUGGAGACUGCAAGGCUUGAAUCUGGCAGAGGGGGGUAGAAUUCCACGUGUAGCAGUGAAAUGCGUAGAGAUGUGGAGGAACACCGAUGGCGAAGGCAGCCCCCUGGGUCAAGAUUGACGCUCAUGCACGAAAGCGUGGGGAGCAAACAGG